ensembl:lncRNA
UCUCAAGGGAAAAAUGCUCAAAACACUGCCGUACUGCUUAAAUCAGCGAAACAUUUCCCACAGCUCCCCGUCGCCAUUUCUGCUUUGGUUGCGUGGUGCUUGCAAACACAACAAAAUAGUGAUCAUAAAGACGCGAAAGCGAAGAAGAAAGAAGCCAGCCCAGCCUACAGGCUCACAGCUGGAAGGCGCUUCUGCUCUGCCCUGGGCCUUUCUUGGAGGAGUCAGUGAUAACUUGCAGUAACUCAUGUUCCUGAUUCCAUAAGGCAUUUUCUUGGCACUUGCUAGUGCAACACAAUAAACCAUGGGAAUAUUAGUGGAGUUCCUCCUUCUGUUGGUACGCCAAGGGGGACUGGAGCUCCACCACACUGUAAUUUGCCAUGUCAUGGAUGUUAAUGUCAUUACAUCCUGAAGUUGAUGAAGCCAUUUGUGCUGUCUUAAUUAUAAAGGGCUAUGUCACUGUUAAUGUAAUCUAAUCUCAGUGGACAGCACUCAUCUUCAACCCAGUGUUAUGAUUAUAUUGAAC